UCUGUUUCACCUUCUUCCCACCAACUCUGCUUGUGGGCCAGAUGUGGCCUGUCGGCCACAGUUACCAACCUGCGAUCCAUCUCCUCAGGAAGCUGCCCACUGAAUCAAGUAGCUGUUUUAAAGCAUGGGCUGAAUGAUAGGGGUUUUUACGCUUAUAUGCAGGGUUCCAUGUUUAGAACACUGUGGUUUACACUGACCUGCAGGAAAUGUUGUUUUGGCCUGUAAUUCCUAAGUAUUUCUGAAAUGUUCUUCCGUCCCCUUCUUCCCCCAAGCCUCAUGCUGGGACAAGGUGGAAAAAACAGACCUUGCCCCCAGGGUGCUCAUGGUCCAGGAAAUGUGCUUCUCUCUGGCUGUUAAGUCUGGGAGAGACUCGUCUGUGAUGGUGAGCUAAAGCCAGGAGAGACAGCACCACACACUGAAUGUACCAGCAGGUGCCGACUGAUGCUCACUGAUGACUGGGAAAGGCUUUGUGAAAUGAAGUCCAUUAUUUCCAAAGUAGGUGGAACGAUUGUAAGUAGUCACUAAAACUUAGAUUGGAUAAUUUAACAAAAUGUUAGCAAACUUAUUUUAGUUGAUAAUGUGUUUGGUAACUCAGAACUUAUUGCAUAUUAUGAGAAUUAAGUCACUUUUUACUGACUGAUAACUACAUCAGGGAGGCUGACACAUGAGUUAGGAAUUUUUAUUGUAGAGAAAGGUAAAGGGUAAAUCCUGCUAACACAAGCAUCAUUACACAGGGACUCAGUGGCCUCCGGUACCAACGUAAGAGAAGCAAGGAAUAUGAUGCCUAAUGAGAUGGGAGUUUAUACCCCUUUCAGAGAUCUGUGGUCCUAUGACUCGUUUACAUUUAAUGUACAUAAUGUUUUAUGGGAUGAUUAAAACCCACAAUAGACUGCUAGGGAGCAGUAGACUGGCAUUUGACUUCAGAAGAUCAGUUCCUGAUGGAGAGUGGUCCUCUGGCUCCACUCGGCACUGCUGGUCUCCAGGAUUUACCUGUGACUUCCUCCAGAAUUGUCAUUGGUUAUUUCCACUCUAUUUUAGGUUCAAGACUACUGUUAUUGAUGUGUAGUCCCACUGCAGUGCAUUUGAAGAAAGGUAAGUGCUGUCUACCUUCUUACAGAUGGCACAAAGCGGCAAGAGAGUACUCCCUUCUCCUCUUGGACUCAGGGUCAGAGGAAAAGUGUCCUUUCCUUCCCACUGGUGGCUUGGCUCUUGUUAAUGCGCCAUCCUGCAGGUUUAAAGGUGUCUUCACUCAUUUCUGUUGAUACUUCCAUACAGUUUGGAAACGCCUUAGACAACUGUGAGAGCCACAAGCUUCAAGCACUCCGGGGAUCAGACGUGAUUUGAAAAGGCAGGUUUCCUUUUCCUGGCCAGCUGCUGACCUGAUACUCACCUAUGGUGUUGGGGUCGGUCCUGCUCCACGGCUGGAAGCCUCUCAUUUAUUCUGUAGCCUGUCCGUUGACUGGAAUGGAUGAAAACCUUCAAAACAGAAACCUGCUUAAGCAUUCGGGAGCCCGAGUUUGGCUAGGUUGGAGAUGGCAAACAUGGAGCACUUGCUCCCAUGGAUGUGAUCGUUCUGAGAAGUCACGUUCCGUAGAGCCGGGGCAGUCGGGUCUGCAGCCGUUCAUGUGAUGUCCGUAUUGGCUCAUGAAUCCCUGUGUGCCGUUUAGCUGUUACCCGAGUUGGAGGACUGACUUCUGACUGAAUUUCACUCACUCCAAUGAGAUGGUAAGAACAGAGCCUGCGCCAGGCAUAGUACCCAGCAUGGCCCGCCAGGGCUAAGUCUUGUUCGUGAUACUGGCAAAGCUGGCAGGGGUGCCACAGCUCAUGCUGUCUGCUCUGGUAACUGUUGGUUUUGUACAUUUCACAAGCAGCCAUCUUUUGUGAGGUUACUUUUGUCUGAAACCUUCCUACGGCCAGUGGCCCGGUGGGUACCCGUGAGCGACGCUCGGUGGAACGCGGAGACUGAGGAUGUGUGAGAGCAGCAUGUGUCGAGCCUGAGGCUGGGGUGCUGACCCGGAUCAAUCUUCUGUGCAGACCCAGCUGAAAGAGUCAAGAAAUCUCAUCUCUGGGAGAAGCAGCCAUCAAGGCUGCUGAGACAGAGGGGAAGGGCCAGUGCCCCUCAGGUGCCUGCCCCGACCCUGUCUGAAUGGCUGGGCCUAUUCUCUGAAUUCUUGGGCAUCCAGGACCAUGGCUGCUGCCUCCCAAAUCCUGACACUCAAGUGAAGCCUGGCUCCCCUCUGACAGCAAGGAGUCAGCUGUGGAAGCUCGAGGCUCUGGCAGGGAUGGGCCCUUCUUUGUCCUACCCUCCCCGGCUCGUCACAUCUGCGUGUGGAAGCAGCUUCUUCCUGAGUCGAGAGAGGCCUUCUGCUGCAGGUCCAAGCAGCAACAUCCCCUUGCUGCCGCCAGGAACCGUAGUGAGCCCGCGAAAGGCUGAUGCGUGUGGUGUGUCCAUGGCGCCCGAGAAACCUGCUCACCUUCUCCAGGGUCUGCACGAACUGCUCCACGGGGAUGGAGCCGCUCAACAAAGGCUUCAGGACUUUGCAGUCCGGGACAUCAUCGCUCACCCGCUUUCUCUUCUUCCCGCUUGUGGGCUGGGUGGGCCGAGGAGGGGGCUGGAGCAGAAGGAAAGAGUGGCUCUCAUGAGCUUCCUCUAAGCAACAGGAGCCACCGCAAGCCACACAGGGAGCCUGACUAUCCCACCCUCACAGGCCCCGGCCCGGCUUCCUCAGCCGGCACUCGGUUCAGGUUCCCUGGCUGCUGGGGGCCCCAGAUCCACGUGCUCAACUGUCCACCCAACCAACACCUUUAUUCACUGAGCUCUCUGCCUUCUAUCAAGAUCCAUUUUUAAACCUUCAGGUGAUUUCACUGCAGUAUCUGCUGAAUAAAUUUUCCACAUUA